rnacentral:lncRNA from 1 species
GAAUUUUGCCAGGUGUGGAGCAUAUUAUGGGGAUAGAAUCUACUGCCAGCUAAGAAAGGCUCUUUAAUCGACGUGGAAAUGUGUAAAUGUGGGAGACAGCUAUGGAUGUAUUGGACUGUUCUUUAUUUUUAGCAGAAGAAGGAGAGAGAGAGAGAGUGACAGGACAACUCUGUAUAUUUUUCACUUUUUAUGUAUAUAGAGUUAGGAAAAUUGGUAAGUGGGGUCCAAGAUUAGAGAGAUUUUAUUGUAAGCUGAAUUGGCAAGAUGUGAUUGGUUGUAGAUGCGGCUUGGGGUGGACAUUAGCUUCUGUUGUGCACAUGUGAAGUGAAGGAAUAUUAUUGUUUUAUUGGUAUGGUAUGGGGGAAAUAAGAAGAGACAGAAGAUGGUUGAGAAAAUGCGCAUGGUCUGCAGUGUGGAUGCUUCUGCUUUGCUGUACAAUUCCUUUGUUUUUUUUGUUCUUAUAUCUUUGUAGAAAUUUUACUCAAAUAUACGAAAGGUAGAAAGUUAGAAAGAAAUAGAUAAUACAAUAUUCAUGUCAGCCUUAUCAAAGGCUCAUAUAUGGUGCAUUUAAGCCAAGGAGGACGAUUCGUCUCGUGUAAGCUUUUAAGUCUAGGUAAGACAGUAAGGGAUGUGCCUCAAUGUCCAUGAGUUCUAUCUUGAACAUGACAGUACUAAACAACAAAUAUUAGGAGUGAAUUUGUUAUUUUUCUUGAAUUACAUAAGCAUUUUAAUUUUUAGUUGCGCCUUUCUUCAUAAAUAGAGAUUGAAGUUUAAUUGCACUUUGAGCUUAAAAUUCCUAUGUUUUUCGCUUUUGGCAACACCGGUUUAUGUUCAAGUUGAAUGAUAUUGAAUUUUUGUAUUUUCUUACUGGCAUUUGUGGGAAAAAGAAUUGUAGAGUCUGUGAUUCAAUGAAUGAGGAGAUAUAGUAAAGAAGAUGGGAAAGGAGAGGGGAUGCAGUAUUUACCCUUAAGUGGGAGAGAGAAUAUGGAAAGGACCAGCUUGGAGACAGCGAGGAUGUGUCAGAAACUUUAAUGUUGUAUUUUAAUGGUGAAACGUUACUACGUUAGAAAGGGAAGAGAAAGAAGAGAGUAGUAGUAGUAAUUCAAUAAUUCAGUGGUCACGGGUUGCAGAGUAAAAUUGGCCAAAUGACAUAUUUUGUCCCCCCUAGGUUCUCUGUUUUUAAGGCAAUGUUUUGGACUUUUGGGUCUCUAUAUUUGUCUUCUACGCCACCUUUCUUAUUCUUUCCCACAAGUUUUUUACCGUUACCAGUUUAUGAUAAUGUGAAUCAUAUCCUUGCGAAUAACAUUUUGGUCACUCGUAUUGUUAUGUUGUAUAUCAUUUAGCUCAUAGGACAAUGAUUUGAUUAUUAAUUGAAAUACUGAAGAGGUGCCUAUAAAUUGCGAGUUCAUGAAGUUUUUUUUUUCCAGCCGAAUGAUUAAGACGUAUUGUACGUCGAUUUAGUAAACCAAUACCUUAAACCAUCUAGUCAUACCAUCAAGUUGUUGAUCAAAGUGAAAUUGGAUGUGCUGAGUAGGACUGCUCUCUCGGAGUCUUAUCUGAUCCGAUUACAUUUAAAGGUAUAAACCAGUUGGAUUUAUCAAUUAUCCACAGUAAAAUAGUUAGUAACUCAAAACAUGGAUAAACAUUUAAGGAAAAAUGGCGUCAACUAUUUGGCUUUCUAAAUACGAAGUAUAUCAGAUUAUGAAUGGUGAUACAGGCAUUAUCCCCGACCUUAGCUCCGUUGGUAAAGCGGAGGACUCUGCUUGGAAUUACCAAGCAGUAUAAUCCUUAGGUCACUGGUUCGAUUCCUGUAGGUCGGAAUUGUAUUUGAAUUUUUUUAAUUAAUGCUCUUUUUUCUCCCAAGCCUUAUGCUUUUCCAACUUUCUAUUUUUAACAGGUUCAUACAGAAUCAAAGAUCAUACUUAACUAUCCCCUUAAUAGCCACAUCAUUAUAAAUUCAAACUUCUCUGUAAUAUCAAAUUAUUAAUUUUGGAUCCAAAAAAAUCUUAUGUCCUUUUUGAAUUAUCCAUUGUCUGAUCCCUUUCUUUCUCAAUAUCAAUUUUUGAAGGACGCAUUUGGAGAAAAUAGGUAUCAGCUAUUAUAAGGUACUGCCUGAAGGGCAGCUCGGCGCGCUAAUUUUCAUUGAACCUUCUUUCACGUUCAACAAAAAGUAAAAAAAUAAAAUAAAAAUAAUAAUAAGAAGAACUCAAAAUGGCUUGACUUGGCCCAUAAUUAGCACCCAUUUCGUCUAAUUUUAUUCGAUGUUGUUUGACUAGGUAUAAAAUUUAAGAAAGAGAGUUUUAAAACAUGUGAUUUACAAUAAGUCAUAUAUACUUGUAUAAUAUAAAUCAUUCUUUUACGAAAUUUAAAUUUAAAUUAUUUCUAAAUACAGAAAGAUAUAAUUCUUUUGGAACAAUUUAAAAAGAUAAAUGCAUCCCAUAAAUUAAGACAGAGGAAGAAUAAUAAUUUAUGUUAUAUCCAGAUAUGCACUGAUUAAAGAACUUUUACAACUAUUCUUUAACCGAUUAUAGCAAAUUUUUUACUUUACCUUCUAAGUUACAUAUUAGACUUAACAAUAAUUUUCAGAAUCCACUAUUGUUUUGUGGCUAUUAACUUCCUAUAGCUACUACAUACAUAGUUAAUUCCUAUAAUUACUAUUCAGUUGUUACGAUAGUGUAUUCGUUGUAUUCACGCUAUUGUAUUCUUGAAUACAGUAGCAAAAGUCGCCUAAAAAAUAGGAGGUUACAGUUGUACGCGACUGUAUUCACAUGUAUUCGCGUCAUGCAUUCAUAAAUACAGGAACGACAAUCACCUUAAAAAUAGGUCUGUCCAGCGGUCUAAUAACGAAAAUAGUAUCAAUUAACGUGAUAGACUCCUAAUAUAACUCAACAAAAUAAAUUCUAGCACGCCUCAUUAUCAACCCAAUUAAUUAGAAUGAUUUUUCAGUUAUAUAUAACUAUUGUUUUUGGUGUGUUUCAAUAUUUUGUUUUUUAAUGUCGCAUUCAUUAGAUUCAAUGUAUGUAUUUAUUGUAUUCGCUAUUUUGUAUUCAGUGUAUUCAAAUAUAUUUAUAUUAACAAUAUUUUUGUCAUUCCUAAUACAUGUUAUUAUUGUUGUAUUCAGUAUAUUUUAUUGGUUGUAUUCACUGUAUUUUUAUUUAUAUUCAGUGUAUUUGAUUAUAUUUCACUGUAUUUUAAAAUUAAAUGUAUUCAUUUAUAUUCUGUUCUAUUUCAAUUUUUGUAUUCAGUGUAUUUCAAUGUUUAUAUCCUAUAUUCAUGCAUACUGCAUAUAUAGUAUGCAUGAAUACAAGUGUAUUCAACUGGAGUAAAAAAAUACAGACAUUCGAAAUAUAUAAAUACAGGCAAAAAAAUAUUUUAUAAAAAUACAAUGUGUUUGAGUGGAUUUGUACAAAAUAUAAUGUAUUUGUAUUAUUGUAUGUGACUAAAUAGCAAAGAGGAGAAGAAAAGUCGUCGGAGAUGGCGUUUUUCGGCCAAGCAAAAUACUGUAUACAUUGUAUUAAAACUAGAAAUGGAGACGAAGAAAAAACCGUCCGUCAAAUCUUCUCUGGCGUAGAAAAUAUUGUAGUGUCAGUCGUUCAUGUUAUAGUACCUAUGCUCUACUCGGAUUAUUCCGACAUCGUUGUUUCUCCUCACGCAAUGGCCUUAGUCUCAGAGCGACGAGCCCCUCCUUGGAGGAAUUCGAUUUUGAAGAAAAGUUCUAUCUUUCCCCUUUUCUCCCAACAGUUUAGAAGUAUUUUCAAAUGCAGUAACCCUAAAAUAUUCGGUCAGAGAAUUCACGAUUAGAAGCAGGUAUUUUCUCAAAGAGAGUCGUGUGCUAAUUGAAAGAGAGAGAAAAAAUAUAAUUAACGUAUUUCACACUUCAAUUGUAGUAUAUAUCAUAAAUAUCUAUUUUGCUAUAAAAUAUAAAAGGUAGCUAUAAAAAAAUAAUAUUUUAAAAUAAUUUUAGUUUAUAAUAAAUAAGGUGUAUAUCUUUGCUAUAUGAGGUUAAAUUUCCAUAUCAUACUCAGAAUGUGAUAAAUUGAAGUUAAAAUAUAUCUAAAUUAAGAACUCGGUCUAAUACAUUUCCAGGGAGAAUUUAAAAAAUAGUCAGAUUUACAAGUGGUCAUUCAAAAAUACCCACACUUUCAAAAGUAAUCGAAAUUUAGCCAUUUUUUUAUGUAAAGAUAAAUCUGAACGAAAACACUGUUCAAAAUCCGGAAGAUACUCCAGUAUAUUAUACUGGAGUUCCAGCAUAAGUAUACUGGAUGCUGGAGUUCCCGCAAAGUAUACCGAUCCAAUAUAAUAUGCUGGAAGUUCAUACACAGGUGCUCGAAUCUCUAGUAUAUUAUGUUGGAACUUUCUGCGUGUUGGAGUUCCAGCAUAAUAUGCUGGAAGUUUAUACACAUGUGCACCGAACUCCAGUAUAUUAUGCUGGACCGAUCUCUGUUGCAGCAAAAUAGUGGUUAUUUUUUAUUGACUUGGCAAACGCUAGCUAUUUUUGAAUGACCAGUCCGAAAACUGGCUAGCCCGUGCUAUUUGCUAGCAAAAAUUGGUGGGCUGAGGCCCAAAACUUGUGCAGAUUCUAAAGCCCAAUUUCCUAUCGAUAAACCCGUCUCAGUUAACUACUUUGCUACACUCUUCGUUUCCUCAGGCAUCGGUGGCCCUCUGGAUUGCCGGUGGGUAUCGAGUUUCCGGUGAUCCUUGAGAUAUUCCUCUUUCAAUAAAUUUCAAUUCCUAUUUAAUUCCCUGUUUCUGUCUGUAAUUUUUUUGUAAUCUAAUGGAGAAAGUCUCGUUCUUUCUUAGGGUAAGAUUAAAUUCGAGUGAAGAAUUUUGAAAAGAAGAUGGAUAAGGAGAAAGUGGAACAAUUGAAAAGUCAAAUGCAGCAAUGGUUACAUGAAGUUGAAGAAUUCAUCCAUCAAACACCUCCUGUUCAACUUUAUACUGCACUUGGAGUUGUUUUAUUCACCCUCAUUUUCUUGUUUAUCAGUAAGCUUUUCAAAUAUCCCUUCAAUAUUACAUUGUUUUCCUUAAUUCUUUGUUAAAUUUUCGCAUGGGUGUGUCAAUGUGUCCAAUUCUUUUGAAUUUUCAUUUCUGAGUUUGACUUGGGAAAUCAAAGGUUUCUUCAUUUGGCGUUGGAACUUGUUUUAGGUUUUCCUUUCUUUGUUUGCUUGUGUCUGAAGGUGUUGGAAGAAAAUUGUGUGAUUGCAAAAUUUUGAUUACAUAACUGAGUUAGCAUAUCUUAGUCAAACUACAAAAAACAAAGUUGUAUUCUUUUAGUGAAUGACACCUCAAUCCCAAAUUAGUUGGUAUCGGUUUAUGAAUCUUUUGUAUGCAUAGAGAGGAAUCAUCAUAGUUUGGUUAGCUUUUGCUAGCCAUCAACCUAUCGCACUCCCUCUUCUUUUAUUAAUCAACUGUUAUUUUGGUGAUUCCUCUUUUUAAUUCUCUGCUCAAUUGUCGAUUAGAUAUCAAUUUUGGUAUCAUUGGCGGAAACAAAAAUUUAUCAUUAAGAAUUUCUUUAAGAAUGCAACAACAACAACUAUGCCUCAAUCCCAAGCAAGUUAGGGUCGGCCAUAUGAAUUCUUAAUGUUCAUGUUAUCCUUUUAAGCUCACUUCAUUGCAAUAAUAUGUAAGAUAACAAUUUAAAAAAAAAACACUAGAAGUUUUCUAUAUUUUCUACUGCCAUAUACAAUUCUAGCAUGACUUAAGACUCCUAGAAAGCAAUGGAUCUAAAGUAAAUAUACUAACACUUUAAAAAUUUAAUUCCAACUAAUUAGUAUCGCCUAUAUUAAUCUUUUCUUUUAUCGUGCCUUAUUUUUCACUAGGCCUGCAUGGAUUUCAAAAGAUUGUAGGUCCUCUGAGACAAUUUUUUGCCAUGUGAUUUUGGGUCUACCUCAUCCCUUUUUAACCCCUGAACUCACAAUGGUUUCACACCUGUAGUCUGAAGCAUUUGGAAGUCAACUUAGGACAUGACUGAAUCAUUUGAAGUGACCUUUUCUCGUUUUAUCCUCUAUGUGUGCUACUUAUACCAGAGCGGAUCUAGGAUUUCUAGUACAUGGGUGCACUACUAAAAAAAUGGAGGAAAAAAUGUAUUAAGUGAGAAUUGAUCCCUAUACCUCUUGGUAAAUAACUUUACCUUCAACCAAGUGCACCACAACCCUCUUGGAGCAUGGGUGCCGCCAAUUAAUAUUAUACCAAUUUUAGAAAAUAUGUACAUUUAUCUAAUUUUGCGUAAAGACCAUGGGUUCACGUGCCCCAUAAUUUUGCCUAUAAAUCUGCCCCCGACUUACACCUUCUGUUGAAUAUAUCAUUUUAAUCUUGUUUAAUAUUGUUUGAUUGCCCAUCCAUAUUAGGAUCUGCAUCUUUGUGACAUUUAUCUUGUGAACAUGUCGCACUUUUGAGGCCUACCAUUCACUCCCAUAUAACAUUGAUGGCCUCACAACUAUUCUAUAGAACUUUACUUUAACUUUGGUAGGCAUCCUUAUCACAUAACACUCAGUAGCAGUUCUCUAUUUUAACCAUCCUCUUUUUAUUGUAUGUGUAACAUUUUCAUCUUUUUUACAUUUCUCCUAGAACAUCCCAAGAAAAUUAUAAAAAGGAGAAUGUCAGAAACCCAAAUUUUAUAAGCAAGGAGAAUAUCAGAAACCGGAGAUUUAUAAAACUUCCCAUAUCUCAUGUAAAUUAAAACUCCUACAUAGUGUCCUCUUGUAUAUUGCUAGUAACAAAAUUCAAUAAGUGUUUUCUUCUCUUCUUUUUUCUUCAUGGUGUUAGAGUUUAUUACUUACCAGCAAGCGGUGUUAUGCCGUCUGUCUGCCCAAAAAAAUUUCCUUCUCUUCACGAGUGCAUUACUCUUGUCUCUUUCUGGCCAUCAUUUAAGGGUGCCUUUUUGGUUCAUUCAGUGACACCAUCCUGCCUAGCAUUCUUCCGACAAUUUUUCAGGCGUUCCCCGGAAAUUCUUCCUUUCUUCUUGUUCUCUAUGAUAUUUAUCGUCUCGACUAUUUUGAUAAAUUUUUAAGUAGCUUUGCCUGUGGGAGCGGCCUUAAGCUGCCUGUUCUGCAAAAAUUUCCUCUUGCUUUCUUAAGUUUAGUAUGAAGCAAAGUAUGACUAUAUAAAUUCCUGUUGGCUCUUUCUACUAUUUUUCUCAAGACUCAUCUUUUGAAUGUGUUGCAAAAGUCCGGAGAGGGGGGGGGGGGGGUUGGCAAGGACUGACUGUGUUAGGUUCUUCUUUUCUUCUAUUUGAUGCCACAUUUUCGUAAAAUUCUAUUUCACCCGUUUGCCACUAUGAUGAUCCUCAGUGAAUGGUUUCAUGUAUUAGCUUUAGAGUUUUGCUUAUCCAUUUUAACUUCCGUUGAAGGCUGAAAUAUGAUGAAUUUCCUUUUGUUUACUAUUCUAUCUGCAGUUCGCCUUUUCAAGCGUACAGCAUCUAACACCAUUGUACUCACUGGGCUUAGUGGAAGCGGCAAAACUUAUCUUUUUUACCAGGUAACUCUUUGACAUGAGACCUGGGAUAAUCUUUUUGGAGUUUAUCUAAACUGUUUAGAUGUGGCAUACACCAGCUUAGAGAUGGUUCAGCCCAUCAGGGUACAGUGACGUCAAUGGAACCAAAUGAAGGCAGUUUUAUUCUAAACUCCGAAAAAGACAAGGUAAUGAACAUUGUCUUCUCUUGUUUCGCCUUUUCCCAUUCUACUAGUUCCCCAGCAUUCUUGUCAUCUCCACCUUCAGAAGGCAAAGAUGGAUCUUGUUAAUUGCCACUGGUCUACCUUUUUUGUCUUGACAUGUUUUUUGUAAUUGAUUUACUGAAUUCCUUCACGUAUUUCACAUCUCAUACUUGGACCUGUUUUACUUUAUGCUGCAGAAAGGGAAAGUUAAGCCUAUUCACGUUGUUGAUGUCCCAGGGCACUCUCGCCUUCGGCCGAAGCUGGAUGAAUUCUUGCCUCAAGCAGCCGGCGUUGUGUUUGUGGUGGAUUCUGUGGAAUUUUUACCAAACUGCCGUGCUGCUUCAGAGUACUGAUCAUUUGCUGCUUAUAUUGCUUUAAUAAUAGCAGUUGUUAAUUUGCAUUUGGAUAUUUGACAACUGACUUUUGCAUAUCAUGAUCCCUCUUGCAUACAGGUACUUAUAUGAGAUCUUAACAAAGGCAAGUGUAGUCAAGAAAAAAGUUCCAGUGCUCCUCCUUUGCAACAAGGUUGACAAAGUAACUGCCCAUACAACGGAGUUCAUCAGGAAACAGCUGGAGAAAGAAAUGUACGGCAACACUAUCCAAUGGCAUUUAUUCUUAGAACAAACACCAAUUUACCCGUUCAUACAUGAGGAAGACUAUCCUAAAGCAUACAUAUAUAAUGUAUGGUUAAAGCGUAACUCUGAUCCGUACACAUAGAAAAUAAGAAUAAAAUCCUUCUAGAGAGUUGAAAUUAACCUUUCCACCGUGAAAUAUGUUGCAUGCUUUAUUCGUUUUCUUCUGGUAAUGAACUAGGAGACCCUUUAUAAAUUGUUAAUAUCAUAGCAGCACCAUGAAGUUUUGUUGUAUCCUUUAUUUUACUUAUUUACUCGGGUACCCAUUAGGUCACUGUAUUAUAACCAUGGCAGAACUUUUAGUUAAAGUGCUGUUUCUGGUGUUCUGUUUUAUAACUUGUUGAUUUUCUUAUUGAGCCAGCGACAAGCUUCGUACAUCAAGGACUGCAGUAUCUGAUGCAGAUAUCGCUAAUGAAUUUACGCUUGGUGUACCUGGAGAAGCAUUUGCUUUUUCGCAGUGCCAUAACAGAGUAAUUGUUGCUGAAGCUUCUGGUUUGACCGGAGAAAUUUCUCAGUUGGAGAAGUUCAUCAGAGAGAAUGUGAAACCUUGAAUUACUUCUCAAGCAAAUAGGUGUUGGGUUUUCUUUCAUUUUCCUUUUUUUUUUUUUGUCGUUGUCCAGGAAGCUCAUAAUACUAUCAGAAAGAUGUAAAAAGACAUCAACUUGGAAAACAUAUUCAAAGUAGGGGCAGAGUUUGGAGAUUUCUCUUUAUCUUGCAUAUUUAAAUCCACCUUAACAUUAUGUUUGUCGUGCCUAAAAUAUCUUUGUCAUUGUUAGAUUCUUUUUUUGGAAAAUGUAGCAAUUGCUCUUGAGUUAUUGGCUUGCUUAACUUGGAAAUAUUUCACUUUCUUUUGAGUAAAUUUCUUUUUGUUAAUCGCGAUUACUAUUGACUAUUAUAAACUCUCUCUUUUGUUAAUCACAGUAGUGUAUGAUCAUUGUUUAAGAAAACAUAACUUUAGAGCUAACUGUCCAACAAACUCUUAUGUUUCUCUAAUUGUCAUGUUUCCACACGUUUGGAAAUGUUAAAUACCAUUAUGGAGUCGGAAACAAAAUAAAGCCACUACAUCAAAGAAUGGAAUAGGAAACGACAAUAAUGUUAAACAUAAUGAUCUUUUAAAAUCUUUGCUAGAAAUUUUGUUAGAUUUUUCUAUAAUAAAUAGUUAACUCAAGAGGCAGCUGGGGAUCAUGGUAAGAUGAUAGAAUAGGUAUAAGUUUAGCAUAUGUGUAUAAUUCAGAGAGAAAUUAUAUACAGAGGUCGAAACAAAUGCUAACUAUUUUACAAGACAACCAGAAUAUAAAUAAAACAUAAGGGAAUUAGGGUUAAAUCCAAAGGGAAAAAAAGGACAAACUGGUCUUGGUACAUUCUUUUGUGAUCUGAUGAUUAUCAACUUUCUGUAAGUCAUACCAGCCGGCAGCCCCAAAAGUUGCUCCCAGCAUUUGCAAACAGGAAAAGCAUUUUUGCCUUGGAUAAUAAUUGAUAGGAAAAUUCCCGUGUUCUUUCUAGUCUCGUUUUGUUUCGAGGAUAUAAAUGAAAAAAAUUAUAUACAUGAUAAGAACCCGGGGAUGUGAUAAAAAUUAUAGUAUAUAAUAGCUUGUGCUACUCAUUUAUUUGAGUAGCACUAAGAAUUAAAAAAAAAGAAGAAGAUAAUUUGAUUUAAGAAUACUAGUGUAUAAUAAUGCUUGACUUGUUGAUUGGUGUUUGAACUCAUUUACUGUCUCCAGAUAGCUUCCGACUCACCCACCGGAAUAAUCUUGCUAACCAAUAUUUCAAUGCUAUUACCAAGGCAAACAGACCAUAGCAAGGGAGAUGAAACACACCAACCAUCAAAUACCUGCAGUUCCACAUUUGGCAAAUAGCAUAAGCACUUCAUAAGCUUAUGAAUAACUCGGGUCAUUAAUUUUUAUGUUGCUCGGACUCUCCAAAAUACUGCCCCACCCGUGUCGGAUCCUCCAAAAAAUGUACUACUUCUGGAGGAUACGACAUGCAACCAUGAAGAGUGAGUAACGCACACUAAGGGGCAAUAGCUCAUUAAUCAGAGGCGGAUCUAGGAGUUGAUGCUUAUGGGUUCCUGCAACGACCUCGAGUAAAUUUUCAAUAGUAACUGGGUUCACAUUAAAACAUUUAGUUAGUAAAUUUUUCGAACACAUUUACACUGUUUGGACAAAAUCUACUGGGUUCACGUAAACCGUAGGUCGGGAGGUGGAUCCGCCCCUGGCUCAUUUCUAUGUAUCAUAGAGGGUAUAUAUCUGCAAUAACUAAAAGCAUAAACGCGAAAGAUUGCACACAUACACUAAGGGAGCGUAUUUGAAUGAAACAUCCAGGAAGGGAUAAGGCCACCUGUUGCAGCAGGAAUUGAACUCUAUUAGUAACAGCAUAUGCCUAAAUGGCUCUUUUUUCCUGAAUAAAAUGAUAAUGAAUAGCAUGUUGAAAGCAAACAUACCACUUUGAGACACACAUAUGAACGAGCCACUGGAACGCGACAAAUGUGCAUGUCCAAAGUACAAAAUAUGCAAAUCUGAAGAAAGGGAACCGCUGGAAAGAGGCAAGAGAUCAUGUUAGCCAAGAUAUGGGCAUAGGAUACGUUUAUAGUUUAAGCCAGUCACAAAUGCAAACUUACAAGAGAAUUCAAAAUCACGUCGCCAAGCAGGGUAAUGGCAUUGACAGAAUGCAUACCAACAACCAGCUGCACAGACGGGUAGAACAUCAACUUAUGUAUAAAUAGCGAGAAAGGGGAAAGAAGAACACAGGUUAAUCAUCUUUUAAACUAUGUGCAAAGCACAAAUAAAUACUAAUCCAGGUAGAUAUGCUCUUUUCCGUCAUACUCUGCAGUGGAAGUAUAGACAUAGAAACCUUCCUUUCAUAUAAUAUACAACUUUUUCCUUUAGUUCAGAAUUGAGGAACUGCUAAUAGUAGAGAUGCAUAAGUAAGCAAUGGUGAAGUUAAAGUACUGCCAUGUCUUCUAAGAGCACUUAGCUUUCUUCUGUUCAGGAUUUCAGUAUCCAUGCAUGUAGAAAUAUGUCCAGAAACUAAAGAAAAUAGAGGACGGUGAGAACAACCACGCAAUCAGGAAUGGAAAAACGAGACUUGAUUGUAAAAGAAACUGUCAAAUUUUAAAGGCUAGAUGUGGGUAGCUAAUGACCCGAAAAUUAGAACAGUUGAGUAGCAAAGUAUACCAGAACAUCAUUCUGGACUUAGCACUACAGUGCAUGGCCAGGCUUUAUUGCAUAAUAAUACAAGAAGCCACAAAUUGAACCAAAAUGUAAAAGGGAAAUAGGAUCAAGCCAGUAAAACAUAAAGAAAGAAGACAUAACAAAGGGAACCACAGUUCUUAGGACUUACAAAUUGUAACCUGUAAUCAUUGGGCGUGAGAAAUGGGUAGAUAAGAAGCCAAUAAACGCAAUCUGUAAGCACCACAGCACCCGCACAUAUCUAAAAGUUUUUGAACAAGACCAAAACAAAACAACAAGAAGAAAAUUAGCCAAAAGACAGUACCACUUUGUAUUUGUUUACUUACUUUCCAGUAGCAAUAAGGAAGGGAAACACUAACUUAUCAAAUAUCUAUGACGAAUGACGAUAAUAAGUUACCUAUGCCAUAAAUGAGUAUGGUAAUGGUUAAGUAGAUAGAGUAUAAAGAAAAAGGAAAGGAAGAAAUGAAGAUUAAAACUAGAUAUUCUGUUUAACACUAUGUUGCUCGGAGUUUCCGAAAAUGUCGCCAACUGUGUGUCAUAUCCUCCAAAAUAAUGCAUUUUUGGAGGAUCUGACACGGGUGCGGUGAGUCCGCGCAACAUAGGUUUACCAUACUUUUGAAAAAACAAAUCCGAGGUGAAUAUAUCUUGAGAGGACAUGCCUGAAAAAUUAUUUGAAAGGCAUAGCCCAAACGUCCUGCAACUUCUCUAUCAUCAGUUUCCUCAUUGGAACUCAAGUCCUUGGAUAUGCCAGGUAAACUUGCAUUCUUCUCAAGAGUUGGGGCGUCGUUUUUCUCUUCAUCGAUACAGGCAACUUUCGCACCAGCAACACCCUUGCGCCGAUGUUGGAUACAUCCAUAGAUGGAGAGUGAAGACCCUAACUACACCAUUUCGUUGAGAACAUAACCAAGUUAAAGAAAUAAGGGAAACUUGAAGCUAAAUGAGCAAGGAGAAGAGAUGAUAAUGUUGUAAUUAUAUGAAAUAAUAUUCCUGAACUAUUUAGCGAUGAAGAAGAGAUAGUUAGUAUGCCUUUUCAGGAGGAAAGAAACACUUUCGUUUUAUAUAUGCAUCUUAAGACAUUCACAUCCACCAGAUCAUAUCCAGAAAUGAAUUGGCAAAGAUGAUUCAAUUGCUGAGUAACAUACCCCAAAAUACAGAGUGACCAAAGAGAAUGUCCACCUGUUCAGCACAAAAAGAAUAAUCAAAAGCAAAAAAUAAGACUAAGCAUCACGCGAUGAGCAUGUUAAAUAGUUAUGGACUAGUAAAAGUGAAAUUUAUUAGGCAUUGUUAUCUUAGUAUUUCAAAUGCUAAGUUAUAAUUGCAAGAGGUAAUAAGGCUUCUAGUAUAACUCUAUCUAUAUCAUAGGGAAACUUGAUCAACAGGACCUAAGGAUAUUAACUAAUCAUGAAUGAAAACCAAAUAAGAAAAGGCAAAACUAAAGAGACAGUGACAACACGACCAUGGAAGUGAACAUUUCUAGCACACAUUUAUUCUGAUUUUUAAGAAAACCUAAACUUGAUUAGGAGUUGAGUAGUACUACAGAGGGAAAGGAUUACUGACAGAAUCCACAAUAUGCAUAUUACCAAAAAGUGUCGGUUAGCAAGAGAGUGAACCAAAACAGAAUCAAGCCAAGAAGAAAUAUGGGGAAAUAAGAAGGAGAUGUCGCUUACUGAGUAUAGAAAAAGAAUAUAUCUGUACUAUUUAGAACAACAUCCAUGACAAGCAUUGAGAGAAGAAAAAUGAAAGCAAUUAGCCUGUAAGAAAGCAGCCAAACAGGACUGAUUGCUUUGUGACAUGUACUCCAAGCUUCGUCUUUGUACAAGAACCCAACCGGCCUCUUCUUCUUCUUAUUAUUAUUAUUAUUAUCUCUUUCCUGGUAUCUCCAUUUUGGCGAACCUUCAAACUUCCAUAUUAAGAGUGCUGAAAUACCUACAGCUACAAGGAGCCCCGAUCCCAAGACUGAGAACCUCCACGUCAACCAAUAACUUGGAGUGGCUGUAUGUCUUAUCAUGACUUGCUGCCAAGUAUGUUAUAUGAAGAUCCUGUUAAGAACAUUAUCGUAAAUAUUAAUCGUUCAAAGCUUGAGUUUAUAUUUCUUUUGUAACAAUAACUAUAGCUAGAAUUCAAGAAAUUCAGACACUACGAUGUCUUAUCUCAAAUUGAAGGUAACUAUUUUCCAUUUUCAGAGCUUGCAGCACGAGAAGCAAGUAUUCAUUACCUACCAAUUUAAAGAACUCCUUUUAUGUAACAAGGAAUCAAAAUAGUCUGUGGUUUAGUAUAGGUUAUAAUUUACUAGAAGUUUGUUACAAUUUAGGAAUGAUGUUGGUGAUAACUCAUUAUGAUAUCCAUCAAUAGCGGAGCCAAAAAUACUAACAAGGGGAUUCAAAAAAUGCAAGAACGCCACACAUAGGAUUUGAAGGUGCGAUCUGACAGGGGUGAAGCCACAUUGUCCUAAGGGUGGUCAAUUGAUUAUCCUUCAUCGAAAAAUUACACUGUGUAUAUAGGUACAAUAUUAGAUUUUAGAGGUAUAUAAUAUAUAUUGAACACCCUUUGUCGGAGAAUUUUUUUCACUUCUUUCAAGUUUGAACACCCUUGGGGAAAUUGCUAGCUUCGCCAUUGCGACCUGAACAAAUGUUUAAACUAUCUUUGCCACUACACUAGAAGCUUCCUUAUGUUAAGAGGAUUCAACAAUUUCUAUAUGUAUACAAAAAGGUUUAUUAUUACUCUAUUUGCACAAUAUAAUUUUCCGACAAAGGAGAUUCAACCUGAUCCUCUUAUAUCGAUUUUGAUAAUGUACGGAGCUAAAAAAAGAAAUUCAAGGUGCAGAUAGCAGGAUCCUAGAACAGGAUUACUUCAGAAAAACUAAAAAAAGCAAGGACGAGAGUUCCUUAACAUUGAUUAUAGGCGAGCAUUGCUAUAUUAUCAUAAAAAGGAUGUUAACACUGUUUAAAAACAAAACUAGAAGACAACAUCAAGAUACGAAACAACAUAAGCAUGGCAUAAUACACUUACACUGUCCGCCCUCAUCAGUCUGUACAUUUUGAACAUUCUAAAAUAUUUGACACUGCUCUAUUUUUAUACAACUUCCCGAAAAAAAUUUAGAAUUUCACUAAAGUAUUUUCAUGCAUAAAACGUUGAUACAAUGUUACAAUAUAAAAUUAAAUUUUCAAUAAUUACUCAAAUAAUUUCUUUUAUAUCACUAAAAUAAAUAUUUUAAAUGUUGUGUGAAAUCUGAGAAUAUGCUCUUGGCUCUCAAAAACACAUAUUCCAGUCUGUAGGCAACACAUACGCACAAAGAAUACAUGCAACACAUACAAUUUACUCAAUAUGAAAGAAAAUAGAACAUACCCAGAAAAAAUCUUGAAGAAUCAAUCAAAAAAAAUCUCUUUUUUCUUUCAAAUAUUUUUGUUUAUCCUAAGCUGCAGCCAUGAAAGAGCUAGGAUCAAAGAGAUGGGAAAUCCAGAGAGCAAAAUUGGAGGUAUAUGCAUGGUCAAUGUAGGAUUGCUAAAACAAACAAAAAGAUGUAUUUCUGUUCAAUUAUUUGUGGGUACAACGUAGGGCAUUAAUGAAAGAAGAUUGAUAAUAUUAGUUUCAUAGCAAAUUAUUAGCAAAAUAGGGAAAGAGUAAGUACAAGAAUUAAACUGGAUAUUUAUAAACUGAGACUAAUUAGUUAGAUACAAUUGAUAUAGGAGUACCUUAUGGGCCUGAAGAUGGGGGAAAAUGAUAUUGAAUAAAUGAUAGGGGCUUUUCUCCAUCUUGCUUCCCUCUUUGUUACACCACCAAUCCAUUCUAUGUUGUUUUCUGUCUUGUUCUACACUAGUGAAGGACCUUUUUUUUCUCUCUGCCAUUCACCAAGUAAGUCUUAUGUGUUUGACUUGGCACUAGAUAAAAUAGAAAUUCAACUUUUGACUAAAUUAUCAAACGCACUCCUAUUACUACUCUACUAAUUUUGUACCCAAUGAGGUUCACAACAAUAAUAUUACCAUCGUUAGAAAAAAGAAAGAAAAAAAAAAAAGCAGUCCAGCCGCAUCCCAAGAGGUGUGAUAUAGACGCUCUACCCUAAUGCAAUCAUUAGUGGAUGCUUCCACGACUUGAACCUGUGACUUAUAGGUCACACGAAGACAUUUAUCGUUGCUCCAAGGCUCCCCUUUAGACACCAUCUUAGACAAUAUAUGAAUUAUUUGAAGCAAAAUGUUGAGAGGUGUAAGCAAACAUUUAAUACCACAAUGUACAUCUUAUACUAAUAAAUAUUGUCGUAAUUUAAUUUCAAAUGCCAUAUAAGAACAAACUUUUCUUGAUAAAUGCUUGUCUCAUCAAAGUUUGUUUCUGUAUCUAUAAAUGUCUAAUGUAAAAAUUAAGAAACGAUAUCAUUGUUAAUUCUUCUUUCAUGGAGUAACAAAUCCAGGCAUUUUAAGAUGGAAUUUCACGAAUUAAUUGGCAAACUGUGCACUUUCACAAGUAAUUCACAUUUUUUGGUAGGGAUGCUUAUCUUACUCUGGGCAAGUGUUAGGAAUUAGGAUAUCUCAUACAUAUGCUCCCUAUUAUUUUUUCUAAUGACACAACCUUAGAUGGACAAGGUCACUAUUUUACAUGGAUGCUAUUGCAUAAUUUUUCAACUUGUUAAUUUCUUAAAUUAUACAUGAUACAACUGUACAGACAGAUAUAUAAUAUAAAAAAAAACAGAAAAAAUAAGAGCCCUUUAUUCUGGGCACGUUAUUUCAUACUUCCACAUUUUGGGCAUCCACCAUUCUUCCAAAAUUGCAGAGGAAAGACCAAUGUCAGAACAAUUGACCAAGAAAAGAGCAGAAAGUCCUCCAAAUCCUUUUGCUCCAUUCUUCAUUUUCUUCUACAAAUCUUGCUGCUUGUGGCUCUAUACCUACCAUUCAAGUUACUUUAUUUUCUUUCUACUUGUUUACUCCUCAUCACUAAACUCCUUUACUAUUAAAUCAACUGGUAAAAAUCCUUUAGGAACUCUUGACUCUAAUGCUUCAACUGAGUUGUUAAUGUUAUAUUUAUCCUCAUAAUCAUCAUCACUUAUCUCAUCGUCGCUGUCAUUGUCGUCAUCAGAACUACCUUUCCACAUCACUCCUGACUGUUCAGGUAUAUGUUUACUGGACAAAACCAAAGCAGGAUAUGUGUGCUCUGUGGCCUGGGAAAUGUUAUCGAAUUCCUCCACCUUGUUCAAUAGAUCAUCAGGUUUCAGAUCAAUCUCUUCUAGUAAUAGUGCCUUGCCUGAACUGACUGCAUUCUUCCACAGGGACAUCAUUUUAGGGCUUGAACUCACUGUUUUCGCAACUGCUUUAGAACGAUCUUUGGCCGUGCCUGCGUUGGGAGUGUAACAAAUAUAUAAAUACUAUAGUUAGCAAAAUCGAUUUAGAGUCUGCAAAAAAGAGGUCUAAAGUUCCAAAGAGGUGAGACUUAGUAAGCAAGUAUAGUAUUUCUAUCGCAAUGUGAACCUUAGUUGCACAAAGCAAAACUUAAAUGUCAGGCAACUUCAAGCAAUGCAAACAGUGAAAAACAUAGACCCGUGGCUAAAACCUGGCAGUAUUUCGUCUGGUUUCUCCACAACUCUGAUGAGACAAUAUAAUAGGCUAGUAUAAUCACAGUGUAUUUGUAUGUGGACAGUGUCUAUUCUCCAAAUAUGAUUAAACAACUACCAGCACGCAUGUUAAAGGUGGAGAACAGGCAAUUUGUUCAGACAACCAGCUACAUGUAUAAGCCAAUUCAAGGUAAGCGAAUGUGUUAGUAUUCCAUGCAUACCUGGACGUUCUGAAGAAUUCAUUUCAUUUGUGACACCAUCUAUUCUGGAGGACACAACAGCAGGGGCAUAACCGUACAUAGGUUUCCACUCUUUCCCUCUCCACAUCAAUAUCUGUUCAUCAUCAAAUGAUAAUAGCACACACGGGACUAAUUCCUGUCAUUGGAAGUAGAAAUUAGUGAAGACCAUAUCUAAUGUAAAGAACAGAAGUACCCAAAAAACAGAAGAGCUGUUCGAGUAUGCCCAAGAUUUGAUAGAUACUUUUCUCUCUUAUAGAAUGUGGAUAUUAAAUUCUGAUUUCCAUCAAGUCAUGUUUUGCACUGAAACAAAACUUUUAGAUGCUUUGCAAACAAACAAGCUGUUAAUCUCUAAUUCACAAGAAAAACCUUAAUCUUAACCGGAAUAUCUCAGAGGCUACAGGGUCUUGCUUGAUUAGCUAAAUAUUUCAUAACUGAAGUCAAGCCCAAACACAAUGCAAGCUCCUAUAUUACUAAAUCUUGCUACUUGUCUUGUAAUAUAAUUGCAUAACCUCUGAAGGAUAGUAAAAUAGUGCAAUAAUAUGUAAGAGAGAUCUUAAGAAAUAUUUUAUACUGCUGCAUUGCUCAUGAUGCACGUGUCAAGAACCUAAUUCCACAAAAGCCAAAGUCAUGCAUGGAUUUAUACAGCAAUAUAAAAAUCAAGCGACUGUAUAAUUAAAGAAUAAGACGAGGAAUAAACAAAACCUUUAACUUAGCUCCUAUCUUCUUAUAAUCACUUGCAUGCAUCCCCCGGCAAUCAAUCUUCACAAGUGGAGAAGCUUCAAAUGCACUUCUCACGUCUCUAACUAAUGUAAGGUAGACUCCAUUUUUAGCUGCAAAGGAAGAUACCCAAGUUCUUCAAAAUGAGUCAGAAUGCAAGAAAAUGCGAUGAGAAGUCCAACGUACACACAUAUACAAAUGUGAAAACUUUGCCUAGUUGGAAAGUGCAGAAAACUGAUCAUAACCACAGGAAAUGCAUAUAAAGCUAGUUUACACAAGGAAAAAAAGAUACUGCACAUAAACAUUUCUAAUUAAACAGACCAGUCGAAAAUGAAAUUGGAGGACCUCGUCUUUCACUUUGUUUAUAUAGCAAAAUGUGUCUUAUGUAGAUUUAGACAACCAACCCACAAAGUUUUUAAACUUAUUAGGUUCACGGAUUGGAAAAUAAGAGAUACAUUGGCAUACAUUCAGUUGCUUCAAGAAAAACAAAAGCUCUAGAUACUCUCUCCUUCAACAAAAAUUAGUUAGUGGUCAGGAACUAGAAGCAAAAGAUGGUGGAUAAAGAUGCUUUUAUUUUCAACAUGGUCAUAAAUAUUGGCUAUCAAAAAGACGGGAAAGAUUGAAGGUGGUGCAGAGCAUCCUAUGAACAGCAUUAUGUAGGAGAUUCAUUACUUAACAGUAACAUGAUCAGAUGUUCUGCUAUCAGUUGCAAGUGACCCAACAAUAUUACAUGUUUGUUGUUGCCAAUAACCUCAAUAGCAGAAUGAAAGCCAGAGCUCAAAUUUAAAAUCAGAUACAAGCACAUGUCGGAGUGGUUAGGUAGAUGACGUACCCAAUUUACAGAUAGGGGGUAGCUUUUUUCCCUUGAUUCGCAGUUCAUCAGCUUCUUCUUUGGUCAAUCCUUCUGGAGCGUCCUGUAUAAGCUUUGGGUAAACUGGUGUAGCUGGUUUCCAUAACAUCAGUGGGUACUUUGGACGAGUACGAUGGUCAUAGUUCCUGCCCCGAAAGAGAUAAACUACACCACCCAUUCUAUGUAUGAUCUUUCCACCAGUCUUCUCCUAAUAGUGAUAAAGAUGCAGAUGGCAAGCCGGAAACCCUUUUAGAGUGUAUAUAGUAAACUUAAUAAAAAGACAUGACCAAAAAUUCAACAAUAUUUGACAAUAGUUUAAUCGAUGGAUAACCUCGAGACAUUUGCAUAGGUUGUUCAUAUCAACAGUGGGGACACCUAAACAUCGAACUUUACAAACCGGAUCCCUUCUCCAAUGGGUAUGUAUUAACUCUAACAUGUUAUGUACCAAUCCAUCCCGACCUAUUAAAUUCAAAGAUUCAAUAAGAAAAUUCCAAAAGCACAAAUUGUUGCAUGCUCAAAAUUUUGAGAGAGGAAAAAGUACAAAAUGAAUGGAAGAAUGAAGAAAAGUCGUUCUGAAUUAGCAAGCAGAGCAUGUGCAAAAUCGGGCAAUGGAUUCAGAACAAUCCAACUUAAAUAAAAUCCUUCACAAGUCCUUAGAUAAAACAAGAUGCUAUCAACAAUUAGCAAUCAAGUUGACCUCAGAAGCUCCUUCCCCUCCCUCUCCCCGCCCCCAACCCAAAAAAAAAACAAAAAAAAA